AAGGGCGCACGGUGGAUGCCUUGGCACUAGGAGCCGAAGAAGGACGGGACUAACUCCGAUAUGCUCCGGGGAGCUGUAAGUAAGCAUGGAUCCGGAGAUUUCCGAAUGGGGAAACCCACUGUUCGUAAUGGAACAGUAUCCCUGCCUGAAUACAU
rnacentral:rRNA from 1 species